rnacentral:lncRNA from 1 species
ACUUUCCUAGGGGGGCGGAGCGCGGUGUGUGCGAGAGCGCCGGGGGUGUCCGCGCAGGGAUAGCUGGUGUGCGUGCAGCGGAAGGCGCUAACUGCCCUGGAUGUGGAGACCCGCGGACUGGACGGUGGGGACUGUGGGAGAGAUGGAGAGAGACUGGUACAGAAAUGGUGAGACAAGGAGAGAGCCAUAAAGAGGAAGACAGAGAGAAAGAAGACAAAUGCAUAAAGAGGUUCAGAGACGUGUGACUGUGGAGAUCGAAGGCCUGGUUUUAGGGCUAGCGAACACCUUCUCCCUUUGGUUUUGGUCCACAGAAGACUGGUGAUACAGAGUAAGUAUUAAGAGGAAGAAAAGAAAUGCCGUGUAGAGGAAAUUGCAAAUGAAAAUGAUCAGGAUGGAAAAGAGGCUGAUAUUGCAUUGUCUCCCUGACCUCAUCUCCCCUGAGAAUCAGCCUCUGUUUCCCUGGUCAAGGCCACGGCUUUUCUCUGAUCCUGAGGAGAGUUUCCUACCAGAGUGGAAGCAGGGAGGACUGAAAGCACUAGGAACAGAGGGGAGCUAUCGGAUUGCAUCUAGAACCUGCUGUGGCGGUAUUAACCUGCACUGGUCAUGUUCGGUUUCCACUGCAGAGCAAGACAAGUAGUCACAGGGAAGCAAAAGGCGUUGGUCCUCAGGUCCAAAAUGCCUCAUGAUACUGGAUCGGUUGGCAAAAAGCUAAGGCAGGAACCCAGGAG